UGGGGAAUAUUGGACAAUGGGCGCAAGCCUGAUCCAGCCAUGCCGCGUGAGUGAUGAAGGCCCUAGGGUUGUAAAGCUCUUUCACCGGUGAAGAUAAUGACGGUAACCGGAGAAGAAGCCCCGGCUAACUUCGUGCCAGCAGCCGCGGUAAUACGAAGGGGGCUAGCGUUGUUCGGAUUUACUGGGCGUAAAGCGCACGUAGGCGGACUAUUAAGUCAGGGGUGAAAUCCCGGGGCUCAACCCCGGAACUGCCUUUGAUACUGGUAGUCGUGAGUUCGAGAGAGGUGAGUGGAAUUCCGAGUGUAGAGGUGAAAUUCGUAGAUAUUCGGAGGAACACCAGUGGCGAAGGCGGCUCACUGGCUCGAUACUGACGCUGAGGUGCGAAAGCGUGGGGAGCAAACAGG
rnacentral:rRNA from 1 species